rnacentral:rRNA from 1 species
CCUACGGGUGGCUGCAGUGAGGAAUAUUGGUCAAUGGGCGCGAGCCUGAACCAGCCAAGUCGCGUGAGGGAUGAAGGUUCUAUGGAUCGUAAACCUCUUUUAUAGGGGAAUAAAGUGUGGGACGUGUCCUCUUUUGUAUGUACCUUAUGAGUAAGGAUCGGCUAACUCCGUGCCAGCAGCCGCGGUAAUACGGAGGGUCCGAGCGUUAUCCGGAUUUAUUGGGUUUAAAGGGAGCGUAGGUGGAGUGUUAAGUCAGUUGUGAAAGUUUGCGGCUCAACCGUAAAAUUGCAGUUGAAACUGGCAGUCUUGAGUAUAGGAGAGGUGGGCGGAAUUCGUGGUGUAGCGGUGAAAUGCGUAGAUAUCACGAAGAACUCCGAUUGCGAAGGCAGCUCACUGGACUGCAACUGACACUGAGGCUCGAAAGCGUGGGUAUCAAACAGGAUUAGAUACCCUGGUAGUC